UACGUAGGGUGCAAGCGUUAAUCGGAAUUACUGGCGUAAAGCGUGCGCAGGCGGUUUUGUAAGACUGUCGUGAAAUCCCCGGGCUCAACCUGGGAAUGGCGAUGGUGACUGCAAGGCUAGAGUUUGGCAGAGGGGGGGUAGAAUUCCACGUGUAGCAGUGAAAUGCGUAGAUAUGUGGAGGAACACCGAUGGCGAAGGCAGCCCCCUGGGUCAAAACUGACGCUCAUGCACGAAAGCGUGGGGAGCAAACAGG
rnacentral:rRNA from 1 species